GGCGGACGGGUGAGUAACGCGUGGAUAACCUGCCGUAUACAGGGGGAUAACACUUAGAAAUAGGUGCUAAUACCGCAUAAGCGCACGGUUCCGCAUGGAACAGUGUGAAAAACUCCGGUGGUAUACGAUGGAUCCGCGUCUGAUUAGCCAGUUGGCGGGGUAACGGCCCACCAAAGCGACGAUCAGUAGCCGGCCUGAGAGGGUGAACGGCCACAUUGGGACUGAGACACGGCCCAAACUCCUACGGGAGGCAGCAGUGGGGAAUAUUGCACAAUGGGGGAAACCCUGAUGCAGCGACGCCGCGUGAGUGAAGAAGUAUUUCGGUACGUAAAGCUCUAUCAGCAGGGAAGAAAAAAAGUCCUUUGGACUUUGGACGGUACCUGACUAAGAAGCCCCGGCUAACUACGUGCCAGCAGCCGCGGUAAUACGUAGGGGGCAAGCGUUAUCCGGAUUUACUGGGUGUAAAGGGAGCGUAGACGGCAGCGCAAGUCUGGAGUGAAAUGCCGGGGCCCAACCCCGGAACUGCUUUGGAAACUGUGCAGCUGGAGUGCAGGAGAGGUAAGCGGAAUUCCUAGUGUAGCGGUGAAAUGCGUAGAUAUUAGGAGGAACACCAGUGGCGAAGGCGGCUUACUGGACUGUAACUGACGUUGAGGCUCGAAAGCGUGGGGAGCAAACAGGAUUAGAUACCCUGGUAGUCCACGCCGUAAACGAUGAUUACUAGGUGUCGG
rnacentral:rRNA from 1 species